UACCAGCACCCCGAGUGGUCGGGACGAUUAUUGGGCCGUAAAGCAUCCGUAGCCGGUCAUGCAAGUCCUCCGUUAAAUCCACCUGCUUAACAGAUGGGCUGCGGAGGAUACUACAGAGCUAGGAGGCAGGAGAGGCAAGCGGUACUCAGUGGGUAGGGGUAAAAUCCGUUGAUCCAUUGAAGACCACCAGUGGCGAAGGCGGCUUGCCAGAAUGCGCUCGACGGUGAGGGAUGAAAGCUGGGGGAGCAAACCGG
rnacentral:rRNA from 1 species